rnacentral:rRNA from 1 species
UGGGGAAUAUUGCACAAUGGGCGCAAGCCUGAUGCAGCCAUGCCGCGUGUAUGAAGAAGGCCUUCGGGUUGUAAAGUACUUUCAGCGGGGAGGAAGGCGAUAAGGUUAAUAACCUUGUCGAUUGACGUUACCCGCAGAAGAAGCACCGGCUAACUCCGUGCCAGCAGCCGCGGUAAUACGGAGGGUGCAAGCGUUAAUCGGAAUUACUGGGCGUAAAGCGCACGCAGGCGGUCUGUCAAGUCGGAUGUGAAAGCCCCGGGCUCAACCUGGGAACUGCAUUCGAAACUGGCAGGCUAGAGUCUUGUAGAGGGGGGUAGAAUUCCAGGUGUAGCGGUGAAAUGCGUAGAGAUCUGGAGGAAUACCUGUGGCGAAGGCGGCCCCCUGGACAAAGACUGACGCUCAGGUGCGAAAGCGUGGGGAGCAAACA